GCGCCAAUUACUGUUUUUCAGGGGUAUCAUUUGCGCCAAAUUUGGUUUUCCAAAUGUAUCAAUUUGCGCCAAUAUUCGGAACUCAUUUGCGCCAAUUUACCUGUUCACAUAUCUAUGAUCAUAUAUAUUAAUGAUUAAUAUUCUUUCUUAUUUUUUGCUUAAAAAGUAUCAUAUUUUCGGAGAUAUUUCAUCAUGAAAAUGAACAUCUGGAGAGAAAUGCCUUGAGAUGUGUUAGACAAUGUACAGAGAGAGAAAAAAAA
rnacentral:lncRNA from 1 species